rnacentral:lncRNA from 1 species
CUGACAUCAAUGGGUUCAUUCAAAGAUCUCCAAUGCCAGAGGCCGCCUCCCGAACCUCCGCCGCAAAGGUAUUUUCCCUAAUUCCAAAAUAAAGUUUUUUUCGAUUAGAUUGCAUGCAAAGUUGAUUUGAGUAUAAGAUUUAUUGUUCUAGAUAUGAUAGGUUUAAUUUGGAGAAACAAAUUUAAGAUAUUCUUUGUUCUCCAUGUUUGGUUUGUAUGGCAAAUUUAUGUUUUUCGUACUGCAUUGAUUUGCAUUGAUUCAGAUUUUUAUGAAUCAAACAUUUAUGUACACUAGACUUUGAUUCAUAUCCUUUUUUUUAAUCAAACAUUUCUAUACAUUAAGAAAUUUUGUAUUUCUCUCUUUGAUUCAUAAAAAAAAAAGAUCUAUGAUUCAGAUCUGCGUCGCAUUAAGCUUCUUUUUCUCUUUGAAACCUUUAAAACGAUAUUACUUUGUUUUGGGGGUGCUGAGAUUUAACUAGAUCUCGCUAUCUGAAUUUUGUAAUUUUUGUUUUUUUUUUACUGAAUGUUUGUUUAAUCCUAUAUUUAAUUGGAGGAUUAAGAUAUAUUACUAUUUUACCUUAUUCUUUACCAUAAGAUUAUUUUUGAAUAUAACCAUUUUGAUUUCUCCGUGUAACUAUGUAACCACAUGCCAAAUGAACAUUUCUUUGAUAGUUGUUGUUAUAAAGUUAGAUAUGAUCAAAGUUUACUAACUAUCUCUUUUCUUUUUAUUUUGUUGUUGAUAGAGAGAUGUAGAUUCAUCAGAGAAUCAUUUCGAACAAUAUUCGUAACGUCAGCGGCAUAAUUGUAAGAAAUAUUUUCUAACAAAGUUAACUUUUUUCUCGCACAAUGUUUUUCAAAAUAUGUAUCACGAUAAACGAAGUUUAUGAAUUUCCUCUCAUGUUCCUUUUGUUAUUGACUAACCAAUGAAGUUUUACCGGAGGGUGGAGGCAGCAUGAACAUCUUAACAGUGUUCUCGUGAGCGACGCAACAAUGGUAAAACGAAUCUUCCUGAGCAACUCUCUUUGGAAAGUAUAAAUCGUGUUUGGUACAAGUUAUUUAUGAACAAAACUUAAUUUAUUUUUGAUGCACUAUUUUCCAUGUUUUUUACGAUGUAGAAGUCAAUUAUGAUUUGAGUUAAUGAACUUUCGAUUUUAUUUUUAUUUUAUUGUUGAAUGAUGAAAGAGGUGUACCAAAUAAGCAUAUCUAGAAGUAUAUAUAUAUAUAUAUAUAUAUAUAUAUAUAUAUAUAUAUAUAUAUAUAUAUAUAUAUAAAUUGUGCUCACAAGGGUAGAACCAAUCUCACUUAUAUGGAACUUUGACUAGUUAAUUUUUUUCUCGCAUUAUGGUUACAAGGUCAAUACUAAUUAAAAAAAAUGUUUAUGAAAACUCUCUCAUGUGUCUUUUGCCGUUGACCAAUUGAUGAAGUAUGGCAAGUAUUGCUAUCGGAGCAUCUUUAAGAAUUUAUUCUUGUAAAAGGUCCAACUCAGCUUCCUUGAGGCAUUCCACAAAAGAGUAGAAUCGAAUAGAAAAUGUGAUAAUUUACAAACAUUGCUCUCUUCGUAAAAUAGACCUUCUUAUUCUAAUGACUAAUACGAAAAAAAUAAAAAAAUCAUAUCCUUCUUUGUCAAAAAUAGGAAUUUAUUCCAAGAAUAUUUGUAAUAUUCCUCUUUGAAUCUGGAUCCAAGGACUCCAAUUUUUAUCCCUAAUAUGACAUGGCCAACUAAAGAAACAUUCUAAUUUUGCUUGUGACUUAAGUAAAUCCAUUGGAAAUAUGCAAAAUUGAUUAUAUAUCCGAUGGUUUGCGUUGAAUCCUACCACAUGGAUGUUGUAGGAUGGCGUUGGGGGCUUUGGAGGAGUCUAUUACGUAUUGGAGCCUUGUGUCGCUUAUUUUUAUUGGAUUUAAUCAACUUUGACAUUUGGUUAAGUGUGAUUGAAUUCUCAGUAUCGUACUUCGCUGAUAGUCUUCUUGCAUUGAAACUAACUACACCUAGUUUCUCCAUAUAACUCAUUCAAUUAUAUUGAGUGUUGUUAUCAAGAUUGCUAGGUGCAAAAAGUUGGUUGCCAUUCCUUUAGCCCGAGGCGCAAGCCGCUAGCCUAGAUGCUAGUGGUAGCCGAAUGAGGCGCAACAUUAUAUAUUUUAUGGUCUAUAUAGGUAGAAACUAUUCGCUUCAGUCUCUUUGGUUGUCCAUUGUUUUUUUUCUAGCUAUAGUAGCUUCUCUCUUGUUCUUCAUAUUUGCUAUAUCAGUCACAUCACCUAUGUUUCUUGAUUAGAUGUUGUAACUAGUCUAUUUGGUUUAGAUUUUGGCAUUGAUACCGACCAAAUAGAACAAGAUGAUUUGUCAAGAGUAUUUAGCCCGGGAUGUAACUACAUAUGGAUAAACCUUGGAUAGAGGGCGCACCAUAAAUCCAUGGAAACGACUUCAGGCCUGGAUGCAUACUGCAUAGGUGAUGACAGUCCAGAUUUAUAGCCCCUUGAAGUAGGAAAAAAACAUAAACAUUAGAUGCGGACCGCACGAAAAAAUCCAUGGAAAUUACUUCAGGCCUGGAUGCAUAACGCCUAUUUGACGUCGGUCCAGAUUUUUGACCGUUCAAGUAGAAAAAUAAAAUAAACUUUGGAUGGAGGCGCACCACAAAAUGUAUAGAAAAUUCUUUAGGUCUGGAUGCAUCCAACCCUUGAACUCGACAAACAAAAAUAAAUAUUUGGAAGUAGGGAGCACCAUAAAAUCCAUUGCAAUUGCUUCAGGCCUGGAUGCAUAUGAUGACUCUCCAGAUAUUUGGCCCAUUAAAGUCAGCAAACAUAGUCAACUUCGGAAGGAGGGCAUACUACAAGAUCCACAGAAACUUGUUGAGGCAUGGAACAUACUGUUUACAUGACGACUAGCCAAAUUUUAUUCAAGGGGUCGAACUGAAUAAAAUUUGCAUUAAAACUACUUAAGAUCGGGAUGCCUAUUGUUUAGAUAUUCAUUCUUUCGAAAAUUAUUGGAUUUUACUAAGAGAAACAUUAUAUCGUGUUGUAAAAAGUAAGAGAAAUUCAUGUUCAUGGUGUCCAAGCACAUAGUUUACAAAUGAUAAUAACAUGAUUUUUAUAUUUUCUAAAUACAUAAUUAAUUUAAAAUAGAAAAAGUAAGAGAAAUUCAUGUUUCAUGUUUCCUAACCACGCAUCUUACCUCUCAUAUUUUACUAUUAGGUUACUUUUUCACGUGCAUCAAAUGCAAAUAUUACCUUAUGUACCAAGAAAAAAGUUAUUCUUUUUUCCUUCUCCAGCCCUUACCAUCGACGCCACUAGAAAGAAUCAAAAUCAAAUACAACAAGAUCUCCUAAAAUUAUUAAUUAAAACUAACAUUUAAUAGGAUAAUUAAUUUUUCGGUAUGUAAGAAUAACACAUGGCCAUUAGGCUGAGUAAGAAUACAAAUGUAUUUAACAUUUUUUUUUAUUGUACAAUAAAUUUGUGUACACGGUUCACCCUUAUAGUUUGAGAUAGUUGAUAUGCGUCCAAUUUGAAUAUUUUUUGAAGAUAAAUAUACAUAUAUUAAAUAUGUCAAUAUUGUAUAAAUCAGCUAACCGGAGUCUCAUAAUUAAGUUUUGUUAAACAAGGAGUACUUAAGGAUGGUGUAUCCCAUCUACUUAUAUUUGCUUUACAAUCCGUUAAUUAGAUACCUUGUGCCAUUUAAAAACAAUAUUAAAAAAAUAUAUUAAGAAAACAAUACAAUUUGCAUUUGUUAUUUCAAAAUCAAUUUUACAAUAAGAUAAUACUUGGGUUACUGACACACAAAUCCAAAUCACAAAUACAAGCCCAGUGGGCUUUGCAUUUCUCUUAAUGUACCGCCACAUUCCUAGGUUACUACGCCACUCUCACUAUAUAUAAAGAAAAAACAACUAAAAAAAAUCUCUCCGUCUCUACGCCGUCAUAGUGCCCAAAAUGCUGACAUCAAUGGAUUCAUUCAAAGAUCUCCAAUGCCAGAGGCCGCCUCCCGAACCUCCGCCGCAAAGGUAUUUUCCCUAAUUCCAAAAUAAAGUUUUUUUCGAUUAGAUUGCAUGCAAAGUUGAUUUGAGUAUAAAAUUUAUUGUUCUAGAGAUGAUAGGUUUAAUUUUGAGAAACAAAUUUAAGAUAUUCUUUGUUCUCCAUGUUUGGUUUGUAUGGCAAAUUUAUGUUUUUCGUACUGCAUUGAUUUGCAUUGAUUCGGAUUUUUAUGAAUCAAACAUUUAUGUACACUAGACUCUAAUUCAUAUCCUUUUUUUUAAUCAAACAUUUAUAUACGUUAAGAUAUUUUGUAUUUAUCUCUUUGACUGAUAAAAAAAAAGAUCGUUGAUUCAGAUCUGCGUCGCAUUAAGCUUCUUUUUCUUUUUGCAACCUUUAAAACGAUGUUACUUUGUUUUGGGGGUGCUGAGAUUUAACUAGAUCUCGGUAUCUGAAUUUUGUAAUUUUUGUUUUUUUUUUACUGAAUGUUUGAUUAAUCCUAUAUUUAAUUGGAGGAUUAAGAUAUAUUACUAUUUUACCUUAUUUUCUACCGUAAGAUUAUUUUUGAAUAUAACCAUUUCGAUUUCUCCGUGUAACUAUGUAACCACAUGCCAAAUGAACAUUUCUUUGGUAGUUGUUGUUAUAAAGUUAGAUAUGAUCAAAGUUUACUAACUAUCUCUUUUCUUUUUAUUUUGUUGUUGACAGAGAGAUGUAGAUUCAUCAGAGAAGCAUUUCGAACAAUAUUCGUAACGUCAGCGGCAUAAUGGUAGGAAAUAUUUUCUAACAAAGUUAACUUUUUUCUCGCACAAUGUUUCUCAAAAUAUGUAUCACGAUAAACGAAGUUUAUAAAUUUCCUCUCAUGUUUCUUUUGUUAUUGACUAACCAAUGAAGUUUUACCGGAGGGUGGAGGCAGCAUGAACAUCUUAACAGUGUUCUCGUGAGCGACGCAACAAUGGUAAAACGAAUCUUCUUGAGCAACUCUCUUUGGAAAGUAUAAAUCGUGUUUGGUACAAGUUAUUUAUGAACAAAACUUAAUUUAUUUUUGAUGCACUAUUUUCCUUGUUUUUUACGAUGUAGAAGUCAAUUAUGAUUUGAGUUAAUGAACUUUCGAUUUUAUUUUUAUUUUAUUGUUGAAUGAUGAAAGAGGUGUACCAAAUAAGCAUAUCUAG